UCACAGUCCAUUCGUGACGUGUGUGUGAACACAGACCCAGAAGGAGAACCCUAAAGCCUAAAGAGAACCCUCCUGUGUGUGUGCUGCAUCUCUAGGGAGACCGGAAUAUUCAUUGCAAUCCUCGUGAGCUGUCCAUACCCUCAGUAUUUCCUGUUGCAAGUGUUUUAUUGAAUCCACUCCUGUUUAACUCAAAAUGGUGCAGAAUAAAAGACACACAUCUCGUUUGGCUUUUCUUUUAAGUUUCUGAACUGCUCUCUUCAAGUUAGUAUUAGUGGCAUCAAGUCCUUUCCAGGGUUCCCCAAGUUACCUUCUCUUCCCACCCCCACCCCUUCUGAAGAUGUGUGUUUAUGUAUUUAUAUAUAAAAUUAUAUUCUUGUAUAGUGAUGGCUGAAGAGAAUGUGGAGACUGUGGAAGUUAUGUAUGAAUAGGAGAGUGUGUGUUGUGUAACACAGACAGAAGGACAUUGGAUCAUGUUGAACCGCACCCCCAACUAUGAGUGAUGGUAUGGAAAGAAUGCGAACAUUUAAACUGCGCCAAUGCGGCGGCCAUCUUGGUGGAGAAGUUCCUAGCCGAGCUUUGAUGUGAUUUUUUUGAUGGUACAAUGCAGCGAGCAUGGCCACGGGAGCUUUGAAUCCAGCCGACAGCUCCGAGAUUUGCCCUUCCAGUGCUCUUGCCUACGUAGAGAGGACUGCUGAGAUGGGAUUCCUUGUGACAAGCCUACUUACCUUUAACUGCCAGCAUUUGUAAGGUGCAAUCUUGUGUAUUGGUUUUUUAUUUUGACAGUUUUGAAAACAUGUUUGUUGUUCUUGUUGUUUUUCCAGUAAAAGUAAUCACAAAGG
rnacentral:lncRNA from 1 species